GGGUCCUGGUCCCAGAGUUGUAAUCUAUAGAGGUGUUUUCCGUGCUGGCUCAUGUACAAGUCCCUUGGAACAGGGCGUCAUAGAGGGUGAGAAUCCCGUCCUUGACAUGAACUACCAGUGCUCUGUGAUACACUUUCAACGAGUCGAGUUGUUUGGGAAUGCAGCUCAAAAUGGGUGGUAAAUUCCAUCUAAAGCUAAAUAUUGGCGAGAGACCGAUAGCGAACAAGUACCGUGAGGGAAAGAUGAAAAGCACUUUGGAAAGAGAGUUAAACAGUAUGUGAAAUUGUUGAAAGGGAAACGAUUGAAGUCAGUCGUGCUCUUUGGACUCAGCCGGUUCUGCCGGUGUACUUCCAUUGAGUGGGGUCAACAUCAGUUUUGACUGCUGGAUAAAGGCUGGAGGAAUGUAGCACCCCCGGGUGAACUUAUAGCCUCCUGUCACAUACAGUGGUUGGGACUGAGGAAUGCAGCACGCCUUUUGGCCGGGGUUCGCCCACGUACGUGCUUAGGAUGUUGACAUAAUGGCUUUAAACGACCCGUCU
rnacentral:rRNA from 1 species